CUCCCUCACAAACUCACACCCUCACACACCCAUAUCGUACGGACCACCACCAAAACCCUUCAAAACUUGACGGAUCGGGGCAAAUAAGGAGAUUUCAAGCUUGUGGUGAGCUUUAGGAGGUCCUAAGGAAGCUCGGGGACGUUCGUUGGAGAAUUUUGGACGCCGGGAUCGUAGGUUUCAAGUUUGGCCGAACCCUUGGUUUUUGCAAGGUGAGACGUAUCCCGAGGACGACCGCAUCCAGGGACGCCACGGGGGUUACGACCCGUCGACUUA